UACGAAGGGGGCUAGCGUUGCUCGGAAUCACUGGGCGUAAAGCGCACGUAGGCGGACUCUUAAGUCAGAGGUGAAAUCCUGGAGCUCAACUCCAGAACUGCCUUUGAUACUGGGAGUCUCGAGUUCGGGAGAGGUGAGUGGAACUGCGAGUGUAGAGGUGAAAUUCGUAGAUAUUAGGAAGAACACCAGUGGCGAAGGCGGCUCACUGGUCCGGUACUGACGCUGAGGUGCGAAAGCGUGGGGAGCAAACAGG
rnacentral:rRNA from 1 species